AACGAACGCUGGCGGCAUGCCUAACACAUGCAAGUCGAACGAGACCUUCGGGUCUAGUGGCGCACGGGUGCGUAACGCGUGGGGAUCUGCCCUUUGCUUCGGAAUAACAGUUAGAAAUGACUGCUAAUACCGGAUGAUGACUUCGGUCCAAAGAUUUAUCGGCAAAGGAUGAACCCCGCGUAGGAUUAGCUAGUUGGUGGGGUAAAGGCCUACCAAGGCGACGAUCCUUAGCUGGUCUGAGAGGAUGAUCAGCCACACUGGGACUGAGACACGGCCCAGACUCCUACGGGAGGCAGCAGUGGGGAAUAUUGGACAAUGGGCGAAAGCCUGAUCCAGCAAUGCCGCGUGAGUGAUGAAGG
rnacentral:rRNA from 1 species